rnacentral:lncRNA from 1 species
CCCCAAUUUCAGUACAUGCCAAAAACCCUACAGAAGACAAGCCCUUGCUAAGCAUUUUUGAAAACUAGCCGCCACAGAGCCCAGGGACUGUUCUAAUUAUUAAUGGGAUGUGGACAUCCCCUUCUCAGAAUAAAGAUGAAUGAUAAAGCUAGUGCUAAAGGUUUUACAUCGGGCAGCGUGUGAAACUGCGGUGUGGCUGAAGGAUCUGUAGUGCUACUGUCUCCCUUGGGUUUGGAGUCCUGCCUUUACAACGAGACCAGACUUUGGAACUCUGAACUAUUUGAAGUGGGAACACAGCUAAGUGUGUCUCUCCUGAGAUACCCUUGAGAACUUAAGUGUACAGUGCAAUCUGAAGGUCACUGAUGAGCAGAUGUGACGUGAAACAAUAGUCUUGCAGCAAUCAGAUGGCAGCAUUAUUGGCUGGAGAUGAAACACUGGGAUUGAAAUUCUAUGGACCCUGCUGUGCACCCAUUUGGACCUGUUGAUGAAUGUAAAAAUUUUCUCAGUACUUUUUCAUUCAGAUGUAACUGAAGAAAAGUCAGUUGAGGCUUGCUGUUGUGGAGCUUCCUGGAGUUGUUUCCUUACAGAGGAAGAAACUAGUGAUUUGUUGCUGUGAUGUUAAGUGAGGAAAAGAAAAGUCCAGACUGGAAUCUUUCCCAGAUGGAGGACCGUUUCCUGAUAACUCAGCGUGAUCUAUGGACACACUUAACAAGAAGAGUU